UUAAAAUCUUCAAGUGCUCCA
rnacentral:siRNA from 1 species